GACGAACGCUGGCGGCAUGCCUAACACAUGCAAGUCGAACGAGAUCUUCGGGUCUAGUGGCGCACGGGUGCGUAACGCGUGGGAAUCUGCCCUUUGGUUCGGAAUAACAGUUGGAAACGACUGCUAAUACCGGAUGGUGACGAAAGUCCAAAGAUUUAUCGCCAGAGGAUGAGCCCGCGUAGGAUUAGCUAGUUGGUGUGGUAAAGGCGCACCAAGGCGACGAUCCUUAGCUGGUCUGAGAGGAUGAUCAGCCACACUGGGACUGAGACACGGCCCAGACUCCUACGGGAGGCAGCAGUGGGGAAUAUUGGACAAUGGGCGAAAGCCUGAUCCAGCAAUGCCGCGUGAGUGAUGAAGGCCUUAGGGUUGUAAAGCUCUUUUACCCGGGAUGAUAAUGACAGUACCGGGAGAAUAAGCUCCGGCUAACUCCGUGCCAGCCGCCGCCGUAAGAC
rnacentral:rRNA from 1 species